GCAGCUCAGUUGGGAGCGCAUGAGACUCUGAGUCUCAGGGACGUGGGUUCAAGUCUCACACUGGGCA